GAUGAACGCUGGCGGCGUGCCUAAUACAUGCAAGUCGAGCGAACAGACGAGGAGCUUGCUCCUUUGACGUUAGCGGCGGACGGGUGAGUAACACGUGGAUAACCUACCUAUAAGACUGGGAUAACUUCGGGAAACCGGAGCUAAUACCGGAUAACAUGUUGAACCGCAUGGUUCACCAGUGAAAGACGGUCUUGCUGUCACUUAUAGAUGGAUCCGCGCCGCAUUAGCUAGUUGGUAAGGUAACGGCUUACCAAGGCAACGAUGCGUAGCCGACCUGAGAGGGUGAUCGGCCACACUGGAACUGAGACACGGUCCAGACUCCUACGGGAGGCAGCAGUAGGGAAUUUUCCGCAAUGGGCGAAAGCCUGACCGAGCAACGCCGCGUGAGUGAAGAAGGUCUUCGGAUCGUAAAACUCUUUUAUUAGGGAAGAACAAAUGUGUAAGUAACUAUGCACGUCUUGACGGUACCUAAUGAGAAAGCAACGGCUAACUACGUG
rnacentral:rRNA from 1 species